UUAAGCCGGAUGUGAAAUCCUGAGCUUAACUUAGGAAUUGCAUUCGAUACUGGUCAGCUAGAGUAUGGGAGAGGAUGGUAGAAUUCCAGGUGUAGCGGUGAAAUGCGUAGAGAUCUGGAGGAAUACCGAUGGCGAAGGCAGCCAUCUGGCCUAAUACUGACGCUGAGGUACGAAAGCAUGGGGAGCAAACAGGAUUAGAUACCCUGGUAGUCCAUGCCGUAAACGAUGUCUACUAGCCGUUGGGGCCUUUGAGGCUUUAGUGGCGCAGCUAACGCGAUAAGUAGACCGCCUGGGGAGUACGGUCGCAAGACUAAAACUCAAAUGAAUUGACGGGGGCCCGCACAAGCGGUGGAGCAUGUGGUUUAAUUCGAUGCAACGCGAAGAACCUUACCUGGUCUUGACAUAGUAAGAACUUUCCAGAGAUGGAUUGGUGCCUUCGGGAACUUACAUACAGGUGCUGCAUGGCUGUCGUCAGCUCGUGUCGUGAGAUGUUGGGUUAAGUCCCGCAACGAGCGCAACCCUUUUCCUUAUUUGCCAGCACUUCGGGUGGGAACUUUAAGGAUACUGCCAGUGACAAACUGGAGGAAGGCGGGGACGACGUCAAGUCAUCAUGGCCCUUACGACCAGGGCUACACACGUGCUACAAUGGUCGGUACAAAGGGUUGUUACCUAGCGAUAGGAUGCUAAUCUCAAAAAGCCGAUCGUAGUCCGGAUUGGAGUCUGCAACUCGACUCCAUGAAGUCGGAAU
rnacentral:rRNA from 1 species